AAAUUAAAACAUUUGCACAGGUGUUUUAUGUUGCUCAUCAAUUAUGCCAGUGUCCACUAAGCAAUCAGAGUAUAUAUUUUGAAGAAGGAGGAAGAGGAAGAAAAGGAGAAAGAGGAGGAAGAGGAGAAAGAGGAGGAGGAGCAGGAGGAAGAGGAGGAGGAGCAGGAAGAGGAGGGGGAGGAGGAAGAGGAGGAGAAGAAGAAGAAAAAGAAGAAGAAGAAGAAGAAGAAGAAGAAGAAGAAGAAGAAGAAGAAGAAGAAGAAGAAGAAGAAGAAGAAGAAGAAGAAGAAGAAAUGAAAUAUGGCAGGCUUUAGAGGGAGGAAAGGGAAGGGGAAAAUGAUGUAUCUAUAUUAUAAUCUCAAAAAUAAAAGAAAUAAUUUUAAGCCCUGUUAAACAAACAAACAAACAA
ensembl:antisense